rnacentral:rRNA from 1 species
AGGUCCGUGUUCGAAAGGGAAACAGCCCAGACCACCAGCUAAGGUCCCAAAAUAUAUGUUAAGUGGAAAAGGAUGUGGCGUUGCCCAGACAACUAGGAUGUUGGCUUAGAAGCAGCCAUCAUUUAAAGAGUGCGUAAUAGCUCACUAGUCGAGUGACACUGCGCCGAAAAUGUACCGGGGCUAAACAUAUUACCGAAGCUGUGGAUUGUCCUUUGGACAAUGGUAGGAGAGCGUUCUAAGGGCGUUGAAGCAUGAUCGUAAGGACAUGUGGAGCGCUUAGAAGUGAGAAUGCCGGUGUGAGUAGCGAAAGACGGGUGAGAAUCCCGUCCACC